rnacentral:rRNA from 1 species
GGGCCCGCACAAGCGGAGGAACAUGUGGUUUAAUUCGAUGAUACGCGAGGAACCUUACCCGGGCUCGAACGGCAUAUGAAUAUGUAUGAAAGUAUGUAGCUAGCAAUAGCAUAUGUCGAGGUGCUGCAUGGUUGUCGUCAGCUCGUGCCGUGAGGUGUCGGCUUAAGUGCCAUAACGAGCGCAACCCUUAUCUUUAGUUACCAUCAGUUUUAGCUGGGGACUCUAGAGAGACUGCCACCGUAAGGUGUGAGGAAGGUGGGGAUGACGUCAAAUCAGCACGGCCCUUACGUCCGGGGCUACACACGUGUUACAAUGGGUGGGACAAAGGGUUGCUACUUAGUAAUAAGAUGCUAAUCUCUAAACCCAUCCCAGUUCGGAUUGGAGUCUGCAACCCGACUCUAUGAAGCUGGAUUCGCUAGUAAUCGCGCAUCAGCCAUGGCG